CUCUGCCAUUUGCUGUUGCCUGCUGCUCUGUUUUGUUAUUCAUCUGGCUUUAUGUUACUCCCCUGUACCCCUAGACCAUCUUGGGGAUGUAACAUCUUUAGUGAGGAGACAUAUUUUGACAGCAGCACCCAUCUUUGGUAUCUCUCUUCGUCCUCUGACUCACCUGAAGACUGUCACGUUGGGCAUGGAAGGCAAGGAUGGCAAACUGGGCAAGCUGCUUUUGAGCGCCUGCAGCGGGUUGGAUUUCCUCUUGGCAGCGUAGACCAGAGCAGCCAGUAGAAUCACGAUCACAACCGUCACCCCGAUGGCUAUCCCGACUGAGAGGGAAAGAGGGUCUUACUACUAAGAAAAGUUAUGAAAACACAGAAUUUGGCUAUUAUAUUACAAAAUCAACAACUAAACCUGAUGAUGCAACCACGUUGUAUACAUUUGUCUGACAGUAGUCUCCACUCCACUCUGGAGGGCACCUGGGAAACAGUUCAAGACAAGACUCAAGACUUGUGUACUUAUUUCCAGCAUUUCUUCAUGUGUUUGUUGAGAAAUGUAUUUAUGUAUUCAUCAGUUUUAAAUUCUACAUUUAAAACAUUUCAGAAAAAUG